rnacentral:rRNA from 1 species
ACGGGUGAGUAAUACAUCGGAACGUAUCCUGGAGUGGGGGAUAGCCCGGCGAAAGCCGGAUUAAUACCGCAUACGCUCUGAGGAGGAAAGCGGGGGACCUUCGGGCCUCGCGCUCAAGGGGCGGCCGAUGGCGGAUUAGGUAGUUGGUGGGGUAAAGGCCUACCAAGCCGACGAUCCGUAGCUGGUCUGAGAGGACGACCAGCCACACUGGGACUGAGACACGGCCCAGACUCCUACGGGAGGCAGCAGUGGGGAAUUUUGGACAAUGGGGGCAACCCUGAUCCAGCAAUGCCGCGUGUGUGAAGAAGGCCUUCGGGUUGUAAAGCACUUUUGUCCGGAAAGAAAUCAUCGGGGCCAAUACCCCUGGUGGAUGACGGUACCGGAAGAAUAAGCACCGGCUAACUACGUGCCAGCAGCCGCGGUAAUACGUAGGAUGCGAGCGUUAAUCGGAAUUACUGGGCGUAAAGCGUGCGCAGGCGGUGCUGUAAGACCGAUGUGAAAUCCCCGGGCUUAACCUGGGAACUGCAUUGGUGACUGCAGCGCUGGAGUAUGGCAGAGGGGGGUGGAAUUCCACGU